AACUAAUUAGUAUAACGAAUACAUUUGUUUUGAAAACAAAAAAAGAGUACAUCAUUAGUUU
rnacentral:tRNA from 1 species